CCUACGGGUGGCUGCAGUGGGGAAUAUUGGACAAUGGGGGCAACCCUGAUCCAGCCAUGCCGCGUGUGUGAAGAAGGCCCUCGGGUUGUAAAGCACUUUCAGUGAGGAAGAACGCCUGGUGGUUAAUACCCAUCAGGAAAGACAUCACUCACAGAAGAAGCACCGGCUAACUCCGUGCCAGCAGCCGCGGUAAUACGGAGGGUGCGAGCGUUAAUCGGAAUUACUGGGCGUAAAGCGCGCGUAGGUGGCUUGAUAAGCCGGUUGUGAAAGCCCCGGGCUCAACCUGGGAACGGCAUCCGGAACUGUCAAGCUAGAGUGCAGGAGAGGAAGGUAGAAUUCCCGGUGUAGCGGUGAAAUGCGUAGAGAUCGGGAGGAAUACCAGUGGCGAAGGCGGCCUUCUGGACUGACACUGACACUGAGGUGCGAAAGCGUGGGUAGCUAACAGGAUUAGAUACCCUGGUAGUC
rnacentral:rRNA from 1 species